rnacentral:rRNA from 1 species
AGCGAACGCUGGCGGCAGGCUUAACACAUGCAAGUCGAGCGCCCGUAGCAAUACGGGAGCGGCAGACGGGAGAGUAACACGUGGGAACAUGCCCUUCGGUUCGGAAUAACUCAGGGAAACUUGAGCUAAUACCGGAUACGUCCGUAAGGAGAAAGAUUUAUCGCCGAAGGAUUGGCCCGCGUCCGAUUAGCUUGUUGGUGAGGUAAUGGCUCACCAAGGCGACGAUCGGUAGCUGGCUGAGAGGAUGAUCAGCCUCACUGGGACUGAGACACGGCCCAGACUCCUACGGGAGGCAGCAGGUGGGGAAUAUUGGACAAUGGGCGAAAGCCUGAUCCAGCCAUGCCGNGUGGGUNAUGAAGCUUAGGGUUGUAAGCCCUUUCGGCGGGAAGAUAAUGACGGUACCGCAGAAG